rnacentral:tRNA from 1 species
GCCUGGGUGGCUCAGUCGGUUGAGCGUCCGACUUUGGCUCGGGUCACGAUCUUGCGGUUCGUGAGUUCGAGCCCCGCGUCGGGCU